rnacentral:rRNA from 1 species
AUUGGACGUUACCCACAGAAGAAGCACCGGCUAACUCCGUGCCAGCAGCCGCGGUAAUACGGAGGGUGCGAGCGUUAAUCGGAAUUACUGGGCGUAAAGGGUGCGUAGGUGGUAGAUUAAGUUAUCUGUGAAAUCCCUGGGCUCAACCUGGGCAGGUCAGAUAAGACUGAUGGACUCGAGUAUAGGAGAGGGUAGUGGAAUUUCCGGUGUAGCGGUGAAAUGCGUAGAGAUCGGAAGGAACACCAGUGGCGAAGGCGGCUACCUGGCCUAAUACUGACACUGAGGCACGAAAGCGUGGGGAGCAAACAGGAUUAGAUACCCUGGUAGUCCACGCUGUAAACGAUGCCAACUACCU